CGCAGACCCAAAACAGCACAAAUUGACUCGCAUUUCCUGGAUAUGCUUCAUUUCCUACCUCCGGUUCCGUCCGAGUUUUCGUUUAAACUGCCUGAAGAAUCAUGAUGACUGCCCACACAGCCACCCAUGGAUGUUUUCAUGCGCCUCUUCCCCCCGCGGACCCGCUCUGGUUCGGUUUCCCCCCGUCCUCUCUCUCUCUGCCGGGAUAGAGAUUGACAGGGCGCGGGCAUCAGCUGGAGAGAGGCGGGUUCCUUGGCCACUGACUCUUAACUGCCUGGCAGCCUGACUGGUGCUAUCUAACUCAAGUUUCAAGCCUCUGGUUCUGUGAGCCUCUACCUGGCAGCAAGACUGGUGCUACAUCUGAGAUCUACAUCAAGCUACAAGUUCCUUGUGUUCCUGCCUGGUCAUUCCUUUGGAGCUCCCUCUACUCGCGUCAUUGCCAACUUGACGAUCUCAGUGGUCAUCCUUCCUGCCUGUCAUCGUGUCAUCUACCCUGCCCUACUAUUUGAACUGUUUCACACCUCACUCUCCCUGCUGUCUCAAGUCAUCAGUCUUGUUAAUAAAAACCCCUUGUCUGCUCAUUUA